GGGCCCGCACAAGCAGUGGAUUAUGUGGUUUAAUUCGAAGCAACGCGAAGAACCUUACCAGGUCUUGACAUACCACGAGUAGCUAGGAGACUAGUAAUGCCUUUCGAGGCGUGGAUACAGGUGGUGCAUGGUUGUCGUCAGCUCGUGUCGUGAGAUGUUGGGUUAAGUCCCGCAAACGAGCGCAACCCUUACUAUUAGUUGCUACGCAAGAGCACUCUAAUGGGACUGCCGUUGACAAAACGGAGGAAGGUGGGGAUGAUGUCAAAUCAUCAUGCCCUUUAUGACCUGGGCUACACACGUAAUACAAUGGCACUCAAACAAAGGGAAGCAAACCUGCGAGGGUAAGCAAAUCCCAAAAAGUAGUCUCAGUUCGGAUUGCAGGCUGCAACUCGCCUGCAUGAAGUCGGAAUUGCUAGUAAUCGCGGAUCAGCAUGCCG
rnacentral:rRNA from 1 species